CCUACGGGCGGCUGCAGUGGGGAAUAUUGGACAAUGGGGGGAACCCUGAUCCAGCCAUGCCGCGUGUGUGAAGAAGGCCCUCGGGUUGUAAAGCACUUUCAGUGAGGAAGAACGCCUGGUGGUUAAUACCCAUCAGGAAAGACAUCACUCACAGAAGAAGCACCGGCUAACUCCGUGCCAGCAGCCGCGGUAAUACGGAGGGUGCGAGCGUUAAUCGGAAUUACUGGGCGUAAAGCGCGCGUAGGUGGCUUGAUAAGCCGGUUGUGAAAGCCCCGGGCUCAACCUGGGAACGGCAUCCGGAACUGUCAAGCUAGAGUGCAGGAGAGGAAGGUAGAAUUCCCGGUGUAGCGGUGAAAUGCGUAGAGAUCGGGAGGAAUACCAGUGGCGAAGGCGGCCUUCUGGACUGACACUGACACUGAGGUGCGAAAGCGUGGGUAGCAAACAGGACUAGAUACCCCAGUAGUC
rnacentral:rRNA from 1 species